rnacentral:lncRNA from 1 species
GGGAGAUCCCCCAUGAGCUGAGAUGCAGUGGGCUGUAAAGCUGUGUGGUUGUUCUGGAGGCAAACCCUGUGGAGCUGUGCUGAUUGAUGGUGUCUGGAUGAAGAGCUUAUGCCAUCUACAGAGGCAACCCAAAGAGAUAAUCAUCGCCCGCUGACAACCCCUCGCCAUCCAUCACCCGCGCGCGGCGGCUGUCAGCAGAUCCCAGCCCCUACCUGGGGGGAGAGGCACUGCCACUGAGGCAUCUCACAGCACUGUGCAGCAGGAGGAUGGCAGAUAACUUCAGUCAGCUCGAGAGAUUGAUAUGCAAGGCAAAGGGAAGUGCAUUAAGCUAUUUAACUGCCUGGAAAUCCAGCGUGAUGAACAUCCAAAGGAAAACUUACUUUGUCCAAACCAAGUGCUCAAGUGACAACGAAGUCAAGUGCUUGCAAGAAGUAGACUAAAGGUUGCAGUUGAUUUAAUUUGAAUCAAAAUAGCAAGCAAAACCUGAAGGCCAACCAGACAACAGCAAGGCCUUGGACGUGAAAAUCUCCAGCCCAAGCGAGGAAAGUCUGGCAAAUAAUUCAGUAGCCCUUUGCAAGAAGGCAGAGCUACUGCAUCCACAAUAAUAGCUGUGUUUUACACAAGAAGAGCGCGGUGACCUCAUACUGUUUUGCAACAAAAGAAAGUGGGUCGAGACAAUGACAUUAAAGGUGUUAAAACAUUGAAGAUUGCAGAGAUGGUAAUCUUUGGUUCAAAGAGUUUGCAAACUUUUGCGCUGCCCAACAGAGAUGCCUGAAG